rnacentral:rRNA from 1 species
AUGAACAAGGUAGCCACUUAUCGUAUAUAUUUGACAAGAAGUCUCCCCUCUCUCUCCUACUCUGUCUGUCUCAUGGAGAAACUUCAUCUGCUAGCUCUGCUUCUUCCCAUACUUCUUGGGUUACCUCUGUUAUACAUCUGGGACAUACUAUGGAUGAGGCCAGAGAGGCUAAGAAAGAAGCUGAGGAAGCAGGGUGUAAGGGGUCCCAGGCCUACUUUGUUCUAUGGCAACACCCAGGAGAUGAAGAGAAUUCGGCAAGAGGCCGUUUCUGCGCAGAAGCAAGACACCAGUAACUACAUAUCCACCCUCUUCCCUCACUUCCUUAUCUGGAGGGAAACAUAUGGCUCGGUAUUCCACUACUCAACAGGAGCUGUGGAGAUUCUGUUUGUAUCUGACCCCGGCAUGGUCAAGGACAUGAGCCACUGUACAUCAUCUGAGCUCGGGAAGCCUAUUUAUAUACAGAAAUCUCGCAAACCGCUCUUUGGCGAAGGCAUCUUGGUAUCAAAUGGCGAUAUAUGGGCCUACCAAAGGAAGGUCAUUGCACCAGAGUUCUUCAUGGAGAAGAUUAAGGUCAUGAUAGAACUAAUAGGGGAGGCUUCUGUCCCACUGCUAGAAGCAUGGGAGAGCAUGCUUGAUGAUGCAGGAGGGAGUAGAGAGAUAGAUGUGGAUGGUUAUUUGCGGAAUUUUUCAGCGGACGUAAUCGCCAGGGCAUGCUUUGGCAGCGAUUUCACAACAGGGGAAGAAAUAUUCUACAAGCUCAGGCAGCUUCAGAAGGCGAUUUCUCAGCAAGAUACACUGGUUGGAUUAUCUGCAGUGUGGAAGUGUUUGCCAACCAAGGCCAACCGAGAGAUACAAAAGCUGGAGCAAGAAGUUCGGCUACUCAUCCUCGAUGUCGCAAAGGAACACAGCCGCGGAAGCAGCAGCAGAAACAACGACGACGACAACGAUUGCAUAGAGACUAAACAUAACAGCUUUCUGCGCUCGAUUGUCAACAGCUCUCGGCAUUGCCCGGCCAGCUACGGUGGCAGCGCCGAGGACUACAUCGUCGACAACUGCAAGAACAUCUACUUUGCUGGGCACGAGACUGCAGCUGUAACCACCACCUGGUGCCUGAUGUUACUGACCACGCACCCGUCAUGGCAGGACCGUGCCCGCGCCGAGGCUCUAGAGGUGUGCCGUGGAUGCACAAAGCUCGACGUCGAUGUCCUCCGGCGACUGAAAACAAUCACCAUGGUGAUCCAGGAGACUCUCCGGCUGUACCCUCCGGCGUCGUUGAUCGUGCGUGAGGCGCUGACGGACUUCAAGCUUGGCGCCCUCAACAUCCCGCGGGGAACCAUCGUCCAGACCGCCGUCGCGAUGCUGCACCUCGACAAGGAUGUCUGGGGCCAGGACGCCGGCGAGUUCCGUCCGGACCGGUUCACGAACGGUGCCGCGGCGGCGUGCGAGCCGUCGCACAUGUACCUGCCGUUCGGGCACGGGCCCAGGAUUUGCGCGGGGCAGAACCUGGCGAUGGUGGAGCUCAAGGUGGUGCUCGUUCGCCUGCUGAGCAAGUUCGCCUUCUCGCCGUCGCCGGGGUACCGGCACGCGCCGCUGUUCCGGCUCACCAUCGAGCCCGGGUUCGGCAUGCCACUCGUCGUCACAAAGCUUCCAUGA